GGGCUCACACAAGCGGUGGAGCAUGUGGCUUAAUUCGAGGCAACGCGAAGAACCUUAUCCUGGGUUUGACAUGUACGGAUGGCUCGCCUGAAAGGGAUGAGUCUGCCUUCGGGUGAAACGUACACAGGUGCUGCAUGGCUGUCGUCAGCUCGUGUCGUGAGAUGUAGGGUUAAGUCCUUAAACGAGCGCAACCCUUGUCCUUAGUUGCCAGCGGGUCAUGCCGGGACUCUAGGAGACGCCGGUGUUAAACCGGAGAAGGUGGGACGACGUCAAGUCAUCAUGGCCUUAUGCCCAGGGCUGCACACGUGCUACAAUUGGGACGUACAAAGGGCUGCGAGACGCGAGGUUAAGCG
rnacentral:rRNA from 1 species